GAUAAAAGAAUCUCUUAAAGGUAAAAACGGAGGAGAAAGCUUUGAUGGCAGGAGCCAAUUUUGGAUCCAAGCUUGACGGCGGGAGCCAAUUUCGGAUCCAAGAUGAAAGAUUGGAGAAAUUCAGAAUUAAGGUUAAGAAAUGGGAGGAGAGAAUACAGUUUUUUUAAGGAGGUUUUUGAGAAGGAUUAGAGGGGAACUUCAUGCUUCGGGAAGAAAAAAAGACAGAGAAUUGGGUUUUUUUUUUCUUCAUAGGGUUUUGGGAAGACUAAGGCAAUUGUUGCCGAAGAGUCGAAGUGUUGUAAUGGUGAAUCGGGAUUUUUAAUGAAGUGGGUUUGAUUACUCUUGACUGUUUUGUAAAAUCGAGUUAUGUCUGUGAUGAAGAAUUAAAAGGGUGUCUAUAGGAUUGAGUGUGCGGAAUGAAUGAAAUUUUUUGGGUUAAUCUAACGAGACAGUCAGUGGAUACAAUAUCGUGAGAGCAAAGCGGUAUCAAAGAUGAGC
rnacentral:lncRNA from 1 species